rnacentral:rRNA from 1 species
AUUCCAGCUCUAAUAGCGUAUAUUAAAGUUGUUGCAGUUAAAAAGCUCGUAGUCGGAUGUCGGGCUCGGGCAAGCUGUCGGCCUUUGGUCGGACGGCAGGCUCGGGUCUUUCUGCCUGAGGAACCCGGUUGCUUUAACGAGCUGCCGGUGGACGCAGGUCGUUUACUUUGAAAAAAUUAGAGUGUUCAAAGCAGGCUAGCGCUUGAAUACAUUAGCAUGGAAUAAUGGAAUAGGACUUUGGUGCUAUUUUGUUGGUUUAUGGGACUGCAGUAAUGAUUAAUAGGGAUAGUUGGGGGCAUUAGUAUUUAAUUGUCAGAGGUGGAAUUCUCAGAUUUGUUAAAGACUAACUUAUGCGAAAGCAUUUGCCAAGGAUGUUUUCAUUG